CGUAUCCUUCAGUUCGGCUGGAUCGGAGACAGGUGCUGCAUGGCUGUCGUCAGCUCGUGUCGUGAGAUGUUGGGUUAAGUCCCGCAACGAGCGCAACCCUCGCCCUUAGUUGCCAGCAUUCAGUUGGGCACUCUAAGGGGACUGCCGGUGAUAAGCCGAGAGGAAGGUGGGGAUGACGUCAAGUCCUCAUGGCCCUUACGGGCUGGGCUACACACGUGCUACAAUGGUGGUGACAGUGGGCAGCGAGACCGCGAGGUCGAGCUAAUCUCCAAAAGCCAUCUCAGUUCGGAUUGCACUCUGCAACUCGAGUGCAUGAAGUUGGAAUCGCUAGUAAUCGCAGAUC
rnacentral:rRNA from 1 species